UAUAGGAGUAGUACGUAGAGUUUGAGCAAGGAAACUAAAUCUUAUGUACAGAGUACUAUAUAUUCUGGGAUGCAAUAUCAAUAAGAUGAUGAAUUGAGAUUAAUUUAACAAAAUUGCAUUAUAUGGGUCAAAGAGAGUCAAUUUUAUUUUCAAUAACACCAAAACAAGCAGCCACAUUAUCUUUGUCUUAACCUACACCACUCCCUUCUUAACCCACACCAAACCUCAAACUCUCUCUCCUCUCCAAUCUGCCCAACAACACACAGCAACAACAACCACAACCUUCCAUCAUCGUCAACCGAGACGCAGCCAGCCUACCACUUUCAUCAUCGUCAUCAACAACAACCGCCGACCACAACCAGUGCCGAAACCGCAACCAAAUCAGCCAAAAAGUCAUGCAAAACAGAGGAAAAAAAGAGAAUUUAUGUUUGGUCGAACCCGAAUUGUGUCCGACCGAACCCAAGAUUUAGAAGUUUCUGACAUGGUCGGGUCCGGACGAACCCACCGUAUGUUCGCCCAAACCAGAAACGGGUUCGCCCGAACCUCCAUUAAAGUUCGGUCAAACUUUUGAGCGCGGAAUUGUUAUACGGAUUAAUGAAAUUCUAUGGCCACGAUUCAAUUGAUGAUGGUCGGCUGCGAUGAACGAUGAUUGAUGAUGGUCCAACAUGGACGGUUAUGAUGAUGAUCAAGUGACGAUUGAUAGAACGGUGAUGGAUGAUUGAUGAUGAGCGGCGGAUGAAGAUGAUGAUGAGAAGCGAUGACGGUAGAUGAAUUGAUGAUAAGGAACGGAGAUGCGAAGAAUAGAGGAAGACGAAGAACAAGUCUUGCUUGGUUUUGAUAUUGAAAAAAGAAUUUUUUAAGCAAUCAAGAAAUAUCAGACAAGCAUUAUUGAACAAGUAAAUGACUAGACAAGCAUCUUAAGGAUCGGAAAAGAAACAAGAGGGCAACUUAAGACCUAAGCAGUUCACGCAAUUCACAUCUUUCCCAUCAUUUUGCAGCAGUCACGUUCCGUACGUACCUCUCCAUACUCACGUCUCCUUCUUCUCUCGUCCACACUCAACCCUCCGGCCACCAUCACCGCGCACCAUCACCACCGCCUCCAACGUCCGACCGUUCUUCUUUACCGGCCUCCAACCACCGGCGCGGCGCAGUGCUUCUUCACUGUUCUUCUUCCCUGGCCUCCAACUAGGGUUGUUCUUCUUCACCGGCCUAGCUGCGCCACUUCACCGGCGACGAGGCACUGCGCCUCCUCUUCACUGGCCUCCUCUGAGGCUCUGCUUCAUCUUCACCGGCGACGAGGCACUGCGCCUCCUCUGAGGCUCUGCUUCAUCUUCACCGGCGACGAGGCCCCACACUGUGCCUCCUCUGCUCGGAACCCUAGAUUUUCUUCCUGGCCAUGGCGACCGAUUCCCAAAACUCUCACCGCAAGCACAACUGCUCUCUCACAGAUGAUGAUUCACCGGAAAAAUCCAAGCGCCACAAGCACCGCCACCAUCGCCGCCAUCGUCAUCACCACCGCCGUAGCAGCUCCAAGCACAAAAAAGAUGAAAUCAAGGAAACAUCGAGGAAGUAGCGGAGGAGGUGACCAAGCCGCCUCAUCUUGUCGAUUAUGAUAUGGAGGAAGGUGAGAUAGUUGACGAUGAAGGUGGUGUUGUUGCCGAAGCUGAAAAGAAGGUUGGUUCGGAUGUCGAAUCAGGUGAAUUUAAGACCGGAGAUGAUUCUUUCAUGGUGUGUUCUCAUUUUCCCUCUUUUAAAUUUUCUUGCUUAAUAAAUUGAAUUUACUCCUUGAUUAUGCUAAUAAUUAGAGUUUAAUUUGAAAAAUAAAUUGAAUUCAGGACUAUUUUUUAAAAAUAUUUCUUGGAUUGCUUUUAUGAGCUAAGCCAAUUUAGAAUUUUUGAUAUAGAUUUCAUUUAGUAUAUACAUUGGAUUUGAUUAAUGGGGCAUCCUAGACUCUAGAGGCGACUACGUAAAAAGACCGCCUGCCUUCUAAUAGGGCGAAUCAUGAAUCCAGAAGCCAAUGGUUGUCACUUGUCAGUUUGUAGAAAUACACAGCAUGAAAUCUUAAUUAGUUUGUAGAAAUACACAGCAUGAAAUGCUUACUGUAUGGCCUCUGGUUCAGUUCAACCAUUUGAUAUAGCAUCCACACAUGCGCCCAUUGUGGAAUCCAUAUUUUUAAUGGUGAUAGUUAUGAAAUAAAAUUGAAUGGUUCAAGGUAUGAGUAUAGAGUCUAUAGACCUCUCGUGUCCUAGUUUAGUUGUAGUUGAGCUGAUAACACCGAAUAUGUCUUUUGAUAAUGUAAUUUCUCUGUACCCUCAGUUCUCCUAUACUCAUAUAAAUCUCAUGAGAAUGAGACUACGCGAGUUGCUUCUUCAUGUCCUCCCCCCCCCUGUUCGUCAUGAAACUGAAAUUAAAGUGUUUAAUCUAGAGAAGUAAAGCCUAAAAUCUCAUCCUAAUCUAUCCUAAUCUACUGCUCUCUACUGCUGCACUAUUCUAUCGCUACUGCUUGCUAUUCUCUCCCCCAAAAACUGAUUGCCUUUCGAACUGGUCAACCCAGGUCAACUUUGGCCAAGUUAUUGCUGGCAGUCAGUCUGGUCUGGUGUUGGCUUUUUCUGUAGUCCAGGUCAUAGGGAUAUGGGUGGGUUUCCAGUUCAGGUCUGCUUUGGAAUGGGUUAUAUUUCAGGUCUGCUUGGUCAACUUGUCCUAAGUUGACUUUUGAUGUUUUUGCUUUUCUUGCCAAGUUUUGUUUUUUUCUCUCUGUUUUGUACUUGUUUUGACAGGAGAGCAGAGAAUGCAGCACACAAACAUAGUUGAAAGCUUCAACAAGUGAUUAUCAACAAAACAACAGUAGGGAUUAUUACAACUUUUAAGUACUUCAUACGCUCCAAGUCUUCUUUGUUUACAACUUCUUCUGCUAAGAUCUGCCCAAGCUCGAUUUCAAAUUACUUUUCCAUUAAAGAAGAAGGGUGAAAAUUAACAAAGAAACGAGGGUGAAUUCAAUUAAGAACUCAAUUCUCAAUCAGUACAAGGUUACUUGUUAGAUGGUUAUUUACCGAAGAGUUUGUUAUCAUUGGUUUUUCAAUUCGCGUGCACAGUUGCUUCAAGUCCGAUAAAGAAGUUCAGCCAAAAGAAUUAUUAUAGCUUGAGAAAACGUGGUCGAGAGAAAUUGAAUUAGUUUCGAGUAUUGAGCUGCACGUACUAGUAUUGGAGUGAAAGUUUCAAAUUAUUAGUUAUUGAAGAACAGACGGGGAUUGGACAAAGAAGAAAUAUCACUUUUGGUGGUGGGUCUCAUCUGUGUAAUUGCUUUACUACUCCGUACUUUGUAUAUUGAAACAGUUGUACAACUAUGUAAAUAUGUGUGGUUCUUUUAAAUGAAAUUUUCAUCAUUUGUUUGGGUUA